GCGAGGGUAACAAAGCCUGGCCAACUGUGCAGGACUUAAGAUUCUGUCCCGUAGGGGUUCGUGGGUUCAAAUCCCAUCCCUCGCA
rfam:Thermoplasmatales archaeon A-plasma AMDT1_APLC00046, whole genome shotgun sequence.